GACAGAGGGUGCAAACGUUGUUCGGAAUUACUGGGCGUAAAGCGCGUGUAGGCGGCUAAGUAAGUCGGGCGUGAAAUCCCACGGCUCAACCGUGGAAGUGCACUCGAAACUGCAUAGCUAGAGUCCUGGAGAGGAAGGUGGAAUGCUUGGUGUAGAGGUGAAAUUCGUAGAUAUCAAGCGGAACACCGGUGGCGAAGGCGGCCUUCUGGGACAGUGACUGACGCUGAGACGCGAAAAGCGUGGGGAGCAAACAGGG
rnacentral:rRNA from 1 species